rnacentral:rRNA from 1 species
UACAGAGGUCCCAAGCGUUACUGAGAAUCACUGGGUUUAAAGGGUGCGUAGGUGGUCCGUUAAGUCAGUUGUGAAAUCCCCGGGCUCAACUCGGGAACUGCUUCUGAUACUGGCGGACUUGAGGCCAGUAGGGGUCACUAGAACUGACGGUGGAGCGGUGAAAUGCGUAGAUAUUCGCAAGAACACCAGUGGCGAAGGCGGCUCACUGGCCCGGUACUGACGCUGAGGUGCGAAAGCGUGGGGAGCAAACAGG